rnacentral:lncRNA from 1 species
AAACAAGCACACCCCAAGGCCAGCACUAGUUAUUAACAUCCUGCCUCCAUUUUCUGCCAGCCACUCCUUUGCAACCAUUCCUGGUGUUUUCUAUCAAGUGGCCAUCACAUUGCCCCAGAAGAAUGGGAGUCUGUACAGUAAGCUGCAUCAAAUAAAACGGAAGGCUUUUAACAACUUCUCUUACCCUGCUCUGUGAUUAUUUAACACUGUUCUUAGCAGCUUCACAAUACAUCAAGAAGAAAAUAGUCAGACUUGGUUUUGCUCCUCCGUGAUUAAAAACCUCCCGAUACUUGACAGAUUUUCCAUAUGCAGUAAUUUAGGUGAGUCCAUAUUAAGUUUGCUGUCCUCUUCCCAAUUCUCCCUUCAGAUGCCUGGAUCUUUCCAUUUUGGACAAUCUCCUAAGCUGAUCAUUUGUGUUCUCUUUACCUGCGUGCAGUAGGACACAGUGCUGCAUCUCAGUCUCUGAAGGAUAGUCUGGUUUUCAACACUGCAGCAAUUGACAGUUAUUUUGCAGCAAGAUACUGUUGACUUGUACUGAUUUCUGAUGGUAUGCUCACUGCCGCUUGAAGUAAAAAAGUAAUGAGCAAAGGCAGUUUUCCAUCUCUUCAGAAAUUUCAAACAUAGUUUUCUUAAGGUUACUCCAUUUUAUACUAAACCUAAUCUGCUUCACAUAUUUAUCUCCCUUAUCCUUUGUGAUAGAAAGUAAGAUCAAAAAGAGUUUUUAACCCUAGUUGUUAAGAGUAAGU